UGUGCGGUUAAACUGCGACGAGAGGGAGGACUUGGUAUUGGAUUCUUACAUUACUAAAGAUUAUCUCUUCCAAAAGCUACGCAAUUUGACGAAAAAUCCAUGUAGGUCAUGCAAGAAGUCAUAGAGUCUAUCCAUCAACAAGUAGAUUCCUGUGACCCAAAUCUCAUCAAGCAGUCUAGCUUACAAAACAUGCCUUCACUAACCGCAGGGAGGCAUAUUACCUUCAUCCAGGACUUGGGUCUAAACAAGAGAUUUACUCUCCGGUAAAAGGUAAAUUUCUUUCAAACCGUUAUCAUUGUUCAUGCUCAAAAAGCAAUUUGAAGAGAUUUGCAUCAUCAAGGUUUUGUCCCAAAUUUGAAAGGAGUAAACUGUAAAAGUGUAUUAACUUUUGGUUUGACCCUUACACCGACUUGUAGAUUUCUGAGACUCAAAAUCAUCAUGCUGUCUGAGCAGUCCUGUAUGCUUCAUUUUUGAGAGGGCGAGGGCACCAAGGCAUUUUCUCCUCGGUAAAGGCCACCUUUUCAGAAUAAUGUAAAUAUCUGCUGGAGCUUUUCAAUGGCACCAAGGCAAUGACCAUUGGGCAUGGAAGCAAUCGUCUUUGUUGCCUCCGUGAAGCAUAAGGCCUGGACGUUUCUUCACUUCGUCAAGCAGAUCAACUAAUCUAGACAGGUGAAAGUGUCGGAUCAUCAGUGGGAGUACCUUUGCUUUGUGCAACAAAUCAACUUCACAGACAGAGAGUGUCGGACCUUCUGUAGGCGUUUGCUGCCCAUCAUACCAUCAGCACCGAUGCCUCAGCACCGAUGUCUCAACGAUGCCUCAAUGAUGUCUCAUCGAUGCCUCCUGGCCUCAACGAUGCCUCAACCUGUUUGUAGUUUGUAUUUAGUUAUAGAUUAUUGUUCAAGAAGGAUCAAAUGUUAGACUUAACUGCUCACACUUCCCUUGUGUGGUGAAUUACCCACAAUUCCAAUUGCUCACACUUCCUUUGUGUGGUGAAUUACCCAUAGUUUCAAUUGCUCACACUUCCUUUGUGUGGUGAAUUACCCAUAGUUUCAAUUACUCACACUUCCCUUGUGUGGUGAGUUACCCAUAGUUUCAAUUACUCACACUUCCCUUGUGUGGUGAGUUACCCAUAGUUUCAAUUACUCACACUUCCUUUGUUUAAAAACACAGCACGAAAUCUUGCUGUGCCUUGAUUUAUGGAAAGAUCAAAUCUUAUUUAAAAAAAUACAGAGUUGCAUGCCUGAAAUAAAAGACACUUUAGUGUCUAAAUUCUUAGGAGUCAAACAAAAAUUUGACUUUGCAUUUAUUUUGUAGAAUAGUCAACGUUUCAGCGUGUGUGAAUAAUCUUGUGUGAUGAGUUGCUGACACUUCCAUUGUGCAGUGAAUCGCCCACACUUCCCCUUUAGUUAUUAAGAUCCAUCCAUUUCCCACUCCAAGGUAUAUGAUCCAGAAUCGUACACAUGGCAAAUUCACAAAACCUUUGAAAAUCAAAGAAAAUCUUCUCUUGCGGAUAAUCAGGGCACUCUGAUUGUCUUCUUGGGAAACAGUUUUACCAGUCAGAGAGCACUCUGAUUGAAACUGUUCAAAGAAAUGUUAAACAACUCUCUUUGCAGAACUUUUGGAUAAACAUAAUUUCAACCUCCCUUUGCAGAUACUCAGGGCACUCUGAUUGUCUUCUUGGGAAAAAGUUUUGCCAGUCGGAGAGCACUUUGAUUGAAACUGUUCAAAGAUAUUUUUACAAGACUUUGCAGAACAUUUGGAUCUUGAUUUGAAAAACACAAACUAUUUCUUAUCAAUCAUUUGUGAAUCAUAUAUCUUCCCCCUUUAGUUAAUUAAGAUCCUUCCCUGUUAUACUCAAAUGUAAAUGAUUCAGAUUUGUUUAUGUCAAAUUCACAAAACAAAAUCUUCAAAAUAAAAAAAAAACCUUCCCUUGCAGAUAAUCAGGGCACUCUGAUUGUCUUCUUGGGAAACAGUUUUACCAGUCAGAGGGCACUCUGACUAAAACUGUUUAAAGAAUUUUUAAACAAAAUCUUUGCAGAACUUUUGGAUGAAUAUAAUUGAAACCUCCCUUUGCAGAUAAUCAGGGCACUCUGAUUGUCUUCUUGGGAAACAGUUUUUACAGUCAGAGGGCACUCUGAUUGAAACUGUUCAAAAAUAUUUUGAACAAAACUAAGCAGAACUUUUGACUCUUGAUUAAAAAAAAAAUACAAACCAUUUCUUAUUUAUUUUGACUAACAAUCAGUUCUGAAUCAUAUAACUUUGUAUUAAUAUCGUUGUUAAAUGUACGAGUUGCUCAUACUAACAAAUGAGGCCAUUUAAAAGAGUGAAACUUAAACAAAGUAAUGACUUUUCUUGCAAGCGAAGCCAUUACCUUGUUUCAUUGAACAAACAUAAAAACAAAACUAUGGAAAUCUCUGUAAACUUUUAAAAAAAAGUUAUGAAUUUUCUUGCAAGCGAAGCCAUUAACUUUGUUUCAUUUAAACUAUUACAAUCUUUCCAAAAAUUUUUAUCAAAGUAUUUGUUUUUUCGUUAGUACUUUUGUUCAGAUCUUAAGGGGAAACAACAUUUUUGUUUUGCUUUUCUCCAUUUUGUUUUUGUUCGGGGGUUGUUUUUUUACAUGAAAUUUAAAGAUUUUAAAUUAUGGACUUGUUAUGUAUGAGCAGCUCAUUUUUAUGUAUGCUAGGGCCUCAUCCAAACCCUCUGAAAAACAUGCAGAGUUGUGCAAACACCUGUGCCUGUUGGUGGACCCCCUUGGCCACCUGGAACAAGUGUUGGUCCUGCGGGCCCGGGUGCAAUGGAAGGUGUGUUCUCUAUUCACUGAAAUUCAAUUAGAUGCACAACUAGUGUUCUCCUUCACUGGUGUAAUGGUUUACAAAAUUUGACGAGCUAGAGCGAGCAUUUUUAGAAGCAUGCGUUUGUAGUAGGGCCUGAGCUGGAAGUUAGUGGUUGGUCCCUAAAACGUUCUGGUCGGCAAGAUCUCUCAAGACGUCGGGAUGAGGGCCCCUUAUAAUUUAGCCUUUUGUUGGUCACGUCAUUCUUUUGUUUUUGAGUAAACAGGUUUGAACUGGGGAUCUUUUGAGAUCAUCAAAGGUGCCUUGAGAUGUCUUCGUUUGAGCCAAUGGAAUCUGGACUCGGUGGACGAUGAGGACUUCUAUCCAGUUGACGAUAUGAGGGUUGGAGAAACACGUUUUGCUUGGUCAUGCCACUUCACAUCCAAAAUAUCUAGUAAGAACACCAAUUUUAUUGCCUUUUGAUACCAAAGAUGACAUUGGAUUCCUAUAACUUGUAAUGGUUUAGAAUUGGUUGAUCUUAGAAGAGGUCAAAGGUCAGGUCUAUGUCAAGGUUCUUAGGGUCUGGUCAUGGUCAAGGGCAAAUUACUGCAGGAGAGCACAAAUUAAGGUUUCACGCAAUGCCAAACAUAAAUUUGAUCAUAGAAGUUCUCUAAAACUUUUCAACAUUUACAACUAAAAUGAACAUUUAAAUCUUAUCUGAGACCAUGCUUUUUAAAAUCAUACUAGGUUAGAACUAAGUUCAUCUUAAACACAGCUGCUAAACAAAAGUUUAUUAUAAAAGUUUAUACUUGUGACAUUCCCAACUCAGUCUAAAUUCUAAAUCGUAUUCUUGGAUAGGAAUUUUAAAAUCAAAAUAAAUGUGGAUCUUGCAAGGUUAACAUUUAUAUCUUUGGAGAACACAUUUCUUCCCCCAUUUAGACUUAGAACUUAGUUAGUUCUCAAUACAUCUAAACAUAAAGUUUAUGAUAACAGUUUAGACUUCUCUAAAAGUUUAGGACAUCCACAACUAAAUCCUAUUCUAGGGUAUGAAUUUAAAAGUCAAACUAAUUGUGGAUCAAAACACUUGCGAUGUUAUCAUUUCAAUCUUUGGAGAAUAUUUUUUUGUAUUGUUUUUUUUUGUAUUAUAUAUAUCAGGCCAGAUAAACAAAUAAAUAUUAUCAAAGAUGAAAUUUUUCUAAAAGUUUGGGACAUUCACAACUAAAUUUGACUCUAAUAUUAGAUCUUUUUUUUUUUCAAUAAGACUAGGUAAACCUUACUAUAAACACAAAUGUCCAAAGCAUUGUUGGUAGCUUGGGACAUCACACUUACAUCUUACAUUAUGAUUUGAGUUUAAAUAUCAGGUUAAAAGAACUAAUCGGUAAAACGUUUUUAGUUAAAUCUUUGUUGAGGAUAUUUGUUUUUCUAAUAGGACCAGGUAGAACUAAAUCAAAGCUUUUUCAAGUUCAAGGCACUUAAUAAAAAUGGUCAGCAUUCAAUCUGUAUUAGCUAAGGGUGUUAGGUGUUUACUUGUUCAACUCACUCUCCAUUUUGUGUCAAAGGUCAUAAAUUGGUCAUUGCAUAAAAGGUCACCAGUCAUUUCAAGGUUUCAAAGGGAUCAAUUUGUCUCAAGUUUUGUAGGUAAAUUUACAGCACACAUAUCUGGCAUUGGGUUAUUAUUGCACGCGGCCAAGAGUCAUUUCACCACAGAAAAAAGGAGUAAACUUAUGCGUUACCCCAAACAGGGGUGCAAACUUACAUAUCAAAAUUAGUUUCUGUUGCAAUGAGCGAUCAAUUUUAAGUAAAUCUUUGACAAAAUUUAAACCAUCGAGUCCCUCAUGCUGUUUGAUAAUGUUUUGAGGGGGAAAUCAAGUUUGGUCGUACUUUAAAGCUAGUUAGUGCAAACCUAAAUAUUCCUUUCAAAAACUUCAGUUUACAAUUUAGGAAACAGUUGUUCCCCAAUUUGCAAAGUCACUUUUCCCUAGUUUGUGGCCAACAAUGUUUGAAUGAACAUGUAUAACCAAAAUGAAAUAUUUAAAACAAGACUGUAAAUUGGGAAACAGUUGUGCCCUAAUUGCUAAUAAUGUAGUCCCUCAUUUUAUUAGAUAAUAAUCUGAGGGGGAAUGACAUGUUCGCAAUCGGUUUGGUUCUUUUUUCCGGGGGUGGGGGUACUCAUUUAUCUGCUAGUCCAAACAUGCUUAGCGCAAACCAAGUGAAACUUCAAUUUAGGAAACAGUUGUGCCUUAAAUUGGAAAGAUCUUUAGUCCCUCAUUUUAUUAGAUAAUAAUUGGAGGAGGAAUAAGUAUCACAAAUUGUAAGGGUUAUUGCUGAACAACCAAAAGUUGUUAGCGAAAACCAAGUAAAAGUAUCCCAUUUUAAAUGUCAAUUUAGGAAACAGUUGUAUCCUAAGUUGCUCUUUUUUUCUCAUCAUGUCAACACAAGCCCAAACCACUUUGGAACCACAAUAUUCAGAGUUUUUUUCAAUCAUAAGUGAAGAAUAAAUAAAGUUAAAAGUUUAAGAUAGGAGCAGCGAACUGUUGCGUCAAAAACCACUAUCCACAGGCACACACGUCACAAAAACAAGAUGGCGUCGCCCAUGAAAAUCUAAGCACAAGUAAACAGUCAACUGCUUUUGCAUGCGAAAAUAUAUACAGAAUCAACUGCUGUUGCAUGACUUGCUAUUAACAAUACGUCACCACAUCAGGUUAUAAAAAACUCAAGGGGUCGACAGUUUUAUUUGAAUUUGGUGAACAUGCAACAAAGUAUUGCAGUAUUUUGUUGUAGUCUAGAAAGUAAUUCUAAUAAGUUCCUGGUCUUGAACAAUUACCUUUGUUGAAAUGUGUCAAAGUUGGUCUCUUUAAGGAUGGUAGAAGUUAUAUUUGUCCAAUGUCAUCUUUGUUAUCAUUUAUUGGCAAACGUGUAGUGAGGAAAACAUCACUUUUCGCCGUACUCCAUGUACUUAAACUAAACUAUUGAAAAUAUUGUGACGUUUGUGUGGAUACGUCAAGCGUUUCUCAGAGCUUUUUGUUGAUUCAUAUCAAGUGUUUUAAACAUUUGUCAACUUUGUUUUUAACGCAAAGUUGGUCAAAAACAAGUUCACUUGUAGCCAUUUUUUCCGUUGACUGCAUCUGAACGUCAAAAUUGCAGCCUCAUGAAAAGCAAGGGGGAAAUUAGUGGCCAUUGCAGAAAUUGUUUCUCCAACCAGCACAUCAUCAUCUGGAUAGAAGUCGUCACCAUCUGUUAAGUUAGGAUCCCAUUGGAACAAGCGUCGACACCUCUUAGCACCACCAGUGCAGCUUGGUUGCGAGACAACAAUCGGUGAAAUCUUAGGCCCUUGAGGGCACCAGUUCAUUUAAGCAAGCAACAACUACCUUCUGCUCAUCAACCUCUCCCCAUUACUCGUCACCAAGAAAGGUUUUAU